UACGUAGGGGGCAAGCGUUGUCCGGAUUUAUUGGGCGUAAAGAGCGUGUAGGCGGCUUCACAGGUCCGCUGUGAAAACUCGAGGCUCAACCUCGAGCUGUCGGUGGAAACCGUGUAGCUAGAGUGCGGUAGAGGGCAGUGGAAUUCCCGGUGUAGCAGUGAAAUGCGUAGAGAUCGGGAGGAACAUCUGUGGCGAAGGCGACUGCCUGGACCAGCACUGACACUGAGGCACGAAAGCGUGGGGAGCAAACAGG
rnacentral:rRNA from 1 species